rfam:Ictidomys tridecemlineatus contig106935, whole genome shotgun sequence.
GGGGUGUAGCUCAGUGGUAGAGCAGUUGCCCGGCAUGUUCGAGGCCCUGGGUUCCAUCCCCAGCAUCACCA